rnacentral:tRNA from 2 species
GGAGAGAUGGCUCAGUGGUUAAGAGCACUUGUUUGUUCUUCCAGAGGUCCUGAGUUCAAUUCCCAGCAUCUACA